rnacentral:rRNA from 1 species
GAUGAACGCUGGCGGCGUGCCUAAUACAUGCAAGUCGAGCGAACAGACGAGGAGCUUGCUCCUCUGACGUUAGCGGCGGACGGGUGAGUAACACGUGGAUAACCUACCUAUAAGACUGGGAUAACUUCGGGAAACCGGAGCUAAUACCGGAUAACAUGUUGAACCGCAUGGUUCAACAGUGAAAGACGGUCUUGCUGUCACUUAUAGAUGGAUCCGCGCCGCAUUAGCUAGUUGGUAAGGUAACGGCUUAUCAAGGCAACGAUGCGUAGCCGACCUGAGAGGGUGAUCGGCCACACUGGAACUGAGACACGGUCCAGACUCCUACGGGAGGCAGCAGUAGGGAAUCUUCCGCAAUGGGCGAAAUCCUGACGGAGCAACGCCGCGUGAGUGAAGAAGGUCUUCGGAUCGUAAAACUCUGUUAUUAGGGAAGAACAAAUGUGUAAGUAACUAUGCACGUCUUGACGGUACCUAAUCAGAAAGCCACGGCUAACUACGUG